rnacentral:rRNA from 1 species
AUGAACCCUGUUGGCGAAGAUCGCAUACCAGGAACAUCACCAGAGGCAGAACAUGUACAAGAAGAAAAGAAGGAGAAAGGAAAGAUUUUAUCAGAAAAGAUACUUCAAAAGAGGAAACACGAUGUUGAAGUCUUAAUAGAACCAAGCAUCAAAAACAACAACACACAAAAGGACACACCAACACCCGGGCAGCUUAACGAGCAGGCACAGUUCGGUCACGACAAAAAAGGGGAAGGCAUCUUGCAAGAGUGCAGACAAGUUCCCCAAAACCCUCGACGAUUCAAUCACACGAGAUCAGCUCAGCAAACAUAA